GAUGCGGUUGCUCACUUACUUUCCCUCUUAUUCUAAUCGCAUCGCGGCUG
rnacentral:ncRNA from 1 species